ACUAUUGGUAUGAAUCAUAACACAAGAAUGGAAAUUAUAAAUAUAUUCAUCUGAACAGAUCAUAAGAAGGUUUGUACCUUCUUCAUCCUGAGGGCAGUUAGGUCAGCCUUAACAAUCUUCCUAGUAAAUGUUUAUGAAAUACUUUUGUUGGUGACCAAAAUAGAAAUUAAAAUUUUUAUUAUCCGCUUUCCCUAAACCAAAAGACAGAGAGAUUAUUUAAAGAUUAAGUUUUAAACCAACACAAAGAUAAAUAAAAACUAUUUUAAAGUCAAGAUGGUAACUGACGACCUAUACUUUACAUUAUAAAUAGUAGAAAGGUUCAUAGUAACUCAUAUACUUUUUUUUUAGUUGUACAAGUCUCAAUCUGACAAAUAGAUAAAGCAAAGUUUACAAGAUCUUCCCUACUUCCUUCCAAAAGGCAUGAGGCCAAAACUCAGAAGGAUCAACAGCCCUUACUUACUUCUGCAGAGAGCUUUGAGGAAAAGAGAGUAAAUGGUUAACCAAAUUAAUGUUGAGAAUGAAAACUGUCUUCUAAAAAGCACCACUGUUGAGUGACAGUUCUUCAGCAAAGAAGAGGCAAGGAGUGAGGUAUACUAUUUCAUG
rnacentral:lncRNA from 1 species